UUAAAUAUAUAUUUAUUAUUUCGUAAAAAUAUAUAUAAUACGUAAAAAUAAUUUAUAUAUAAUUUUUAUUUGAUGGAAAGCACGGAUCUUAAUCUAGUUAUAUUUAAAGUUGCUUUUAGGAAGGGCCUCAACACCGGAGUUCAUCCUCAUGCAUACAUUUUUUAUCCUAAGAGUGCCUAUCUAAAAAGGAAAAUACUGCUACACGCAGCCAUUAAGAAUCAAACUAAUUAAGAACAUAUACAACUACAAACCACUCA
rnacentral:lncRNA from 1 species